rnacentral:rRNA from 1 species
GCCUACGGGACGCAGCAGUGGGGAAUAUUGGGCAAUGGGCGCAAGCCUGACCCAGCAACGCCGCGUGAAGGAAGAAGGCCUUCGGAUUGUAAACUUCUGUUCUUAGUGAAGAAGAAUGACGGUAGCUAAGGAGCAAGCCACGGCUAACUACGUGCCAGCAGCCGCGGUAAUACGUAGGUGGCAAGCGUUGUCCGGAAUUACUGGGUGUAAAGGGAGCGCAGGCGGGAAGCCAAGUUAGCUGUGAAAACUACGGGCUUAACUUGUAGACUGCAGUU